CCCUUAGAUGUUCUGGGCCGCACGCGCGCUACACUGAUGCAUUCAACGAGUUUCUUCCUGGUCCGAGAGGAAUGGGUAACCUUUUGAAAGUGCAUCGUGAUAGGGAUAGACUAUUGCAAUUAUUGGUCUUCAACGAGGAAUUCCUAGUAGACGUAGUUCAUCAGACUGCAUCGAUUACGUCCCUGCCCUUUGUACACACCGCCCGUCGCUCCUACCGAUUGAAUGCUCAGGUGAGCCAUUCGGACUUUCAUCAUGCUGGUUUCCAGUUUUGAUGAAGGAAAGUCUUGCGAACCUUAUCAUUUAGAGGAAGGAGAAGUCGUAAC
rnacentral:rRNA from 1 species